GUUACUUGCUAAUUUUUGUUAUACCCCUUCCAAAUUUAUUUCUCCAUGUUUUAUGCCUCAUAUAGCAAGUUGGGGGGGUGAAAUGACACUGUAAAAAAAUUUGGGUCAUAAAUAUUAAUGUAAAGUAGUGAUUAGGUCCAGCUGAAAAAGGUCAAAAAUUAGCACUUCGGAAGCUGUCAAAAGAUUUCAAGACCCCCUUAACACAAAAUUGUCCAUAUUUUGAGUUAGAGCUGAUGAAGUUUUCUAUAAUUUUGAUAUAAUUUGUCCCAAAAGUAGUACAACACACUGUAAAAAUAUUAUUGAGAAAGCGCAGGUGGGAUUUUUUUUAAUUUUCAUUUAUUGUCUAAAAGAAU
rnacentral:lncRNA from 1 species